rnacentral:rRNA from 1 species
AUCGAACGCUGGCGGCAGGCUUAACACAUGCAAGUCGAGCGAGCGGCGGACGGGUGAGUACUGUCUGGGAAACUGCAUGAUGGAGGGGGAUAACUACUGGAAAAGGUAGCUAAUACCGCAUACCAUCAGAUGUGCCCAGAUGGGAUUAGCUAGUAGGUGGGUUAAUGGCUGACGUAGGCGACGAUCCCUAGCUGGUCUGAGAGGAUGACCCGCCACACUGGACCUUGGACACAGUCCAGACGCCUACGGGAGGCAGCAGUGGGUAAUAUUGGACAGUGGGCGCAAGCCUGAUGCAGCCAUGCCGCGUGUGUGAAGAAGGCCUUCGGGUUGUAAAGCACUUUCAGCGAGGAGGCGUUACUCGCAGAAGAAGCACCGGCUAACUCCGUGCCAGCAGCCGCGGUAAUUC